GGUACCAAAAAAACAAAACAAAACAAAAUAAAAUAUACAACUAAUGGUAUUCUUAAUAGAUUCACAUGUUUUCAUAUAUUAAAAUACUUGUUUAUGGAAAUACCAUUUUUUCAUUAAUUAUUUAUUUACUUAUUUAGACAGAAUCUCAUACGUUGUCCAGGUUGACCUUGAACUUGAGAUCCUCAUUCCCCAGCCUCCCGAAUAACUGUGGCUAAAGGUAUGCAUCACUGCACCCAGCUUUAUUUACCUUUUCCAAAAUACUUCAGUAUUUUGCCUUUGUAACUUAGAAAAUCUUUUUUUUUUUAAAUUUAUAUGAGUGUUUUUCUUCUCUUUCACCAAAAGCUAAAUUUAGUUCUAUGUUAUGUCACAAACGGUCUUUUUUGGUAUAAAACAUUUAUAUUUUGGAGGGCUAUAAAGACUUCUUGUCCUUUAAGCCUUGUUGACAAAAGUUUUUGUCAAUUGUUUUCUACUGUCCCUCAUAUUAGAUGGCCAGCAAUAAGCAAAAAUAAAGCUGAGACUGUGUUGAAAAAAUGCCCUGGCCCCCAUCCAUCCUUUUUCUGCAGGGUGUAGUCCAGAGUGUUCCCCAUUCAGCGCCUGUGCCAGCCAGCAGAAACAGCCAGUUGUUGUCUGAAAUGAAGAAUGAAUGGAAACACGGUGCCUGUUCCUUUUCCUCUUGCACCCUCACAGAAGACGCAGAUUCUGGACAAAAUGAGGAACGUGGCCAGAAGAGAGUCCUGUCUUUCCAGUGUAAUGCAUUACCACCAUGAUGUCAGGGGUGAAGAAGAGCCAAGAAUAAUACUACUUGGGAAGGUGAAUAGGGCACAACAUAAUGAGUCUGAGGAGAUGCAAUCCCAGGGCGAUGACAGUGAGAAAAAAAGAGAAGAGAAUGCAAGAUGGAGGCACUGCCAGAGAGAGACAACAGUACGUGCACAUGGCCAUAUGGAAUACCACCUUGCAUGCCAUAUGGCAAAAACAUAUCUUAGGUAA
rnacentral:lncRNA from 1 species